rnacentral:tRNA from 1 species
AGGCUUGUAGCUCAAUGGAAGAGCAGCCUUCAGCCUGCCAGCCGGGCUGAAGUGCAUCUUGCGGGUUCGAAUCCCGCCGGGUCUU